rnacentral:ncRNA from 1 species
UAGUGAUACCGCAACAAAGGUGCCCACUACGGGCUGAAUAGGGAAUCCGGUGAAAUCCCGGAGCUGUUCCCGCAACUGUAAGCGCAGACGAACCAUGAAAUCUCACUGUCCAAUGGACGGGAAGGGCAUGGGGAGAGUGACGCGCGAGCCAGGAGACCUGCCUCUGUUGUCGUUUUGCA